CCUACGGGAGGCAGCAGUAGGGAAUAUUGCUCAAUGGGGGAAACCCUGAAGCAGCAACGCCGCGUGGAGGAUGAAGGUUUUAGGAUUGUAAACCCCUUUUGUGAGAGAAGAUAAUGACGGUAUCUCACGAAUAAGCACCGGCUAACUCCGUGCCAGCAGCCGCGGUAAUACGGAGGGUGCAAGCGUUACUCGGAAUCACUGGGCGUAAAGAGUGCGCAGGCGGGCUUGUAAGUCAGAUGUGAAAUCCUGUAGCUUAACUACAGAACUGCAUUUGAAACUAUGAGUCUAGAGUGUGGGAGAGGUAGGUGGAAUUCUUGGUGUAGGGGUGAAAUGCGUAGAUAUCAAGAGGAAUACUGAGUGCGAAGGCGACCUACUGGAACAUUACUGACGCUCAUGCACGAAAGCGUGGGGAGCAAACAGGAUUAGAUACCCGAGUAGUC
rnacentral:rRNA from 1 species